rnacentral:rRNA from 1 species
ACUCCUGCGGGAGGCAGCAGUGGGGAAUUUUGGACAAUGGGCGAAAGCCUGAUCCAGCAAUGCCGCGUGAGUGAAGAAGGCCUUCGGGUUGUAAAGCUCUUUUGUCAGGGAAGAAACGGUGAAAGCUAAUAUCUUUUGCUAAUGACGGUACCUGAAGAAUAAGCACCGGCUAACUACGUGCCAGCAGCCGCGGUAAUACGUAGGGUGCAAGCGUUAAUCGGAAUUACUGGGCGUAAAGCGUGCGCAGGCGGUUUUGUAAGUCUGAUGUGAAAUCCCCGGGCUCAACCUGGGAAUUGCAUUGGAGACUGCAAGGCUAGAAUCUGGCAGAGGGGGGUAGAAUUCCACGUGUAGCAGUGAAAUGCGUAGAUAUGUGGAGGAACACCGAUGGCGAAGGCAGCCCCCUGGGUCAAGAUUGACGCUCAUGCACGAAAGCGUGGGGAGCAAACAGGAUUAGAAACCCUAGUAGUCCCAUGA